rnacentral:rRNA from 1 species
AUAGAAUACUCAAGCUAUGCAUCCAACGCGUUGGGAGCUCUCCCAUAUGGUCGACCUGCAGGCGGCCGCGAAUUCACUAGUGAUUAGAGUUUGAUCAUGGCUCAGAAUGUACGCUGGCGGCACGCCUAACACAUGCAAGUCGAGCGAGGUACUUGUACCUAGCGGCAGACGGGUGCGUAACAUGUGGGAAUCUGCCUUUUGGUUCGGAACAACACGGGGAAACUUGUGCUAAUACCGGAUAAGUCCUAACGGAGAAAGAUUUAUCGCCGAAAGAUGAGCCCGCACUAGAUUAGCUUGUUGGUAAGGUAAAAGCUUACCAAGGCUACGAUCUAUAGCUGAUUUGAGAGGAUGAUCAGCCACACUGGGACUGAGACACGGCCCAGACUCCUACGGGAGGCAGCAGUGGGGAAUCUUGCACAAUGGAGGAAACUCUGAUGCAGCGAUGCCGCGUGAGUGAAGAAGGCCCUUGGGUUGUAAAGCUCUUUUGUCGGGAAAGAUAAUGACUGUACCCGAAGAAUAAGGUCCGGCUAACUUCGUGCCAGCAGCCGCGGUAAUACGAAGGGACCUAGCGUAAUUCGGAAUUACUGGGCGUAAAGCGCGCGUAGGCGGUUAAGUAAGUUAAUUGUGAAAGCCCAAAGCUCAACUUUGGAAUUGCAAUUAAAACUACUUAGCUAGAGUUUAUCAGAGGAAAGCGGAAUACAUAGUGUAGAGGUGAAAUUCGUAGAUAUUAUGUAGAACACCAGUUGCGAAGGCGGCUUUCUGGGAUAACACUGACGCUGAGGUGCGAAAGUAUGGGUAGCGAAGAGGAUUAGAUACCCUCGUAGUCCAUACCGUAAACGAUGAUUGUUAGAUGUUGGGAAUUUAUUUUCAGUAUCACAGCUAACGCGUUAAACAAUCCGCCUGGGGAGUACGACCGCAAGGUUAAAACUCAAAUGAAUUGACGGGGACCCGCACAAGCGGUGGAGCAUGUGGUUUAAUUCGAAGCUACGUGCAGAACCUUACCAACACUUGACAUGUCUGUCGCGGAUUCCAGGGAUGGGAUUCCUUCGGUUCGGCCGGACAGAACACAGGUGCUGCAUGGCUGUCGUCAGCUCGUGUCGUGAGAUGUUGGGUUAAGUCCCGCAACGAGCGCAACCCCCUACUUCUAGUUGCCAUCAGGUUAAGCUGGGCACUCUAGUAGGACUGCCUGUGAUAAGCAGGAGGAAGGUUGGGAUGACGUCAAGUCCUCAUGGCCCUUACGUGUUGGGCUACACACGUGCUACAAUGGCAGUGACAAUGAGAUGCUAAACAGCGAUGUUAAGCUAAACUCAAAAACCUGCCUCAGUUCGGAUUGCACUCUGCAACUCGAGUGCAUGAAGCUGGAAUCGCUAGUAAUCGCUCAUCAGCGCGGAGCGGUGAAUACGUUCCCGGGUCUUGUACACACCGCCCGUCACACCAUGGAAGUUGGUUUUACCUUAAGGCAUGUCACUAACCCUCGGGAAGUGCGUGACCACGGUAUGAUCGGCGACUGGGGUGAAGUCGUAACAAGGUAAAUCGAAUUCCCGCGGCCGCCAUGGCGGCCGGGAGCAUGCGACGUCGGGCCCA